UAUCAAAAACAUGUCUUUUUGUUUAUAAUUUAAAGUCUAGCCUGCCCAAUGAGUAUUAAAUGGCUGCAGUAUAUUGACUGUACUAAGGUAGCAUAAUCAAUAGUUUUUUAAUUGAAAGCUGGUAUGAAAGGUUGAACGAAAAAAAAACUGUCUCUUUAUAAAUAAAUUAGAAUUUUAUUUUUAAGUUAAAAAGCUUAAAUUUUAUAAAAAGACGAGAAGACCCUAUAGAGUUUUAUAAGAAUAUUAUUAAUAAAUUAAUUUAAUUUUUAUAUUAUUAAUAAAAAUUUAUUUUAUUGGGGUGAUAGAAAAAUUUAUUUAACUUUUUUUAUAUUUAUACAUUAAUUUAUGUUUUAUAUGAUCCAAAUUUAUUUGAUUAAAAGAUUAAAUUACCUUAGGGAUAACAGCGUUAUUUUUUUUUAGAGUUCAUAUCAAUAAAAAAGUUUGCGACCUCGAUGUUGGAUUAAAAUUUAUUAUGGGUGAAGAAGUUCAUAGAUUUGGUCUGUUCGACCAUUAAAAUUUUACAUGAUCUGAGUUUAAACCGGUGU
rnacentral:rRNA from 1 species